AUAUUAAAGAUUUUAAAAAUCUAUCAAAAUGAUCAUGUGAUCUCUCUCUCUCCUUUUUCUGUUAAUAUGGUGAAUUACAUUUAUUCGGAAAUGUUAAACCACCUGUGUAUUUCUGGAAUAAAUCACAGUUCGUCAUAAUUUACAAUAAUUUCUAUAUAUGGCUGGAUUCAAUUGGCUCACAUUUUGUUUAGGAUUCUUAUAUUUAUGUUCAUGAGAAAGACAGUUUGUAAUUUUCUUUUCUGUAUUAUCCUUGCUUGGUUUUGAUAUUACCUUCCUUAUAUUUAUAAAAAGUCUCUGAGGAAAUCAUAAGAGCUACUUUAGGCAAAUUGCAAAAUUUUGGUGGAAAUUGAAGUUGGCUAUACUUUCAUAAUAAUGUAUGGGGAGCUCUGAUACUUCUGGGCUUUUCUUGCUCUGCUUUAAGUUCCCUACAUUUCAUGACUCGCUAUUCCUCAGUACUCGCUUCUUCUACACAACCUUUUGAAAAUUCUAAAUUUUCUAAAUUUCAUUUCACUUCUUGGCAGGGUGAAUUCAAUGGUCCACAGUAAUGGCUUCUGUCAAUAAUUACACCUUAUGCUGCUACUGUCUGCAGGAAUUGGCAUUAUGAGAAGUUAUAAAGAAGAAGAAAUUUGCUUCCCUAAAAGAGUUUAUAAUCUGGCUAUGGCCUUUGGCGAAGACAAUGACAGGCAAAUAUUUAUAAGCCAGAGAUUAGUUAUAAAUUUGAUCCAAUCAAAUGAUCAGUAAGCACAUUCUUAUUGCCAGUUGUUAUUAUCUCUUUAGGAAAGGCAUUGGAAACUUUCAUUUUGUUAAUUUCAAAUCAGACAAUUUCCCAGAACUAAUUGAGGUUCCAGUGUCCAAUGGAAAGCUGAAAGAACCUAAAUUUGCUUCUUUUCCUUCUUCACUCCUUUCUUUGUGUGUAUACAUAUUUGUGUAUGUGCACAAGUAUAAAGAAAUGAUUAUUUUUGCAGCUUUUGGCCUGAAUGCUUGUCACUCCAUUUUACAUAAUUCAUUUUAUAUAAUUCAAUUUAUGCUCUUCCAAAAAUAGAUGCUUCAGUUGCAAUCUUCGCCUCUUUAGAAUCUCCAUGCAAGCAAGCUUAGUUAAUAAUUUUUGAUUAAUAUAGCCAAAUACCAACUCCUACUUCAAACCCCCUUUACUUGGAAUACUAUCAUCAGCUUGGUUUACAGAGAGAAGGAAAUAACAAUGAGGUCAGGAGGAAUGGAGAUGGGGUAAAAUAGCAAUAAAAAGUAAUUAUAUAAAAAUGCUAAAGGUAUGACAUCUGUUUUUUUGCUUAGCUCACUGAGCUCGAUAGUUUCAGAUUUAUGCUAUUGUUCAUGUUUAAACAGAUACAAAAAAGGGAAAUGGGAAAGAAUGGUUAUGUGAGACUAUUAAAUAGUGCAGGGAAAAUACGAGUUGUUAUUACACUGGUAAGGAAAAGAGAAACUCAGUGAAAUUUCUUUCCAGAGAUUUGCCUUUGUGAUCUGCAAGGUGCUGUUCCCCUGCUUACAUUCCGUUACCCUGGCAACGCACUCCUGUAAAAUAAAGAUUAUUAAAGCGCAUAUGAUUAU